rnacentral:snRNA from 1 species
GAAUGUGGAGGCUCUAUGACUGUGACAUCUGUCACCAUUGGUAACUAGGGUUGGCUCAGCUCAUCUGACCAGCUAAGCAGGUAUAGCUUUCCUCACUACAUUUUACAUCUGUCCCAAAGCUGCAUACUCAGUUGAAGAGAACAACCUUCCCUGAUAGAGACUACCUGCUAGAACCUUUCAAACAAGCUCUCAAGAAUAUUUGUAUGAAUUAGUUACUGUGAACUUAAUAUUAAAAAUGAAUUUUGAGCUAUUUUAGAAAGAAGUACUUUAUGUGAU